UUGGAUGAGCUUGGUAUGGAACCUACCAAGUGAUAACUUUCAAAUUCAGAGAAACCCUAGAAUUAAAAAUGGGCAAUCCUGAGCCAAAUCCCGUUUUCUGAAAACAAACGAAGGUUCGGAAAGCGAUAAUAAAAAAGGACAGAUAGGAUAGGUGCAGAGACUCAAUGGAAGCUGUUCUAACAAAGGGAGUUACCUACGAUGCGUUAGUAAAGUAAAGAAAUCCUUCCAUCGAAACGCCAGAAAGGACGAAGAAUAAACCUAUAUAUACGUAUACAUAGUGAAAUACUAUCUUCAAACCAAAUGAUUAAUGAAGACCCCAAUCUUUUUUUUAUUUAUAUGUAUAUGAAAAAUGAAAGAAUUGUUGUGAAUCAAUUCCAGGCUGAAAAAAGAAUCGAAUAUUCAUUGAUCAAAUUAUUUACUCCGUCGUAAUCUGAUAGAUCUUUUGAAAAAUUGAUUAAUCGGACGAGAAUAAAGAUAGAGUCCCAUUCUACAUGUCAAUAUCGACAACAAUGAAAUUUAUAGUAAGAGGAAAAUCCGUCGACUUUAGAAAUCGUGAGGGUUCAAGUCCCUCUAUCCCCA
rnacentral:ncRNA from 1 species